ensembl:snRNA U2 U2 spliceosomal RNA
AUCGCUUCUCGGCCUUUUGGCUAAGAUCAAGUGUAGAAUCUGUUCUUAUCAGUUUAAACGUCUGGUAGAAUUCCCCUGGGAAUCCAUCCAACCCUGGGCUUUUAUUCGUUGGGAGAUUUUUUGAUAACUGAUUCAAUUUCUUCACUGGUUAUGGGUCUGUUCAGAUUUUCUAUCUCUUCCCAU